GGGAACAUACCCUUUUCUACGGAAUAGCUCUGGGAAACUGGAAUUAAUACCGUAUACGCCCUACGGGGGAAAGAUUUAUCGGGGAAGGAUUGGCCCGCGUUGGAUUAGCUAGUUGGUGGGGUAAAGGCCUACCAAGGCGACGAUCCAUAGCUGGUCUGAGAGGAUGAUCAGCCACAUUGGGACUGAGACACGGCCCAAACUCCUACGGGAGGCAGCAGUGGGGAAUAUUGGACAAUGGGCGCAAGCCUGAUCCAGCCAUGCCGCGUGAGUGAUGAAGGCCUUAGGGUUGUAAAGCUCUUUCACCGAUGAAGAUAAUGACGGUGGUCGGAGAAGAAGCCCCGGCUAACUUCGUGCCAGCAGCCGCGGUAAUACGAAGGGGGCUAGCGUUGUUCGGAAUUACUGGGCGUAAAGCGCACGUAGGCGGAUAUUUAAGUCAGGGGUGAAAUCCCAGAGCUCAACUCUGGAACUGCCUUUGAUACUGGGUAUCUUGAGUAUGGAAGAGGUAAGUGGAAUUGCGAGU
rnacentral:rRNA from 1 species